UACGUAGGUGGCAAGCGUUAUCCGGAUUUAUUGGGCGUAAAGGGAACGCAGGCGGUCUUUUAAGUCUGAUGUGAAAGCCUUCGGCUUAACCGGAGUAGUGCAUUGGAAACUGGGAGACUUGAGUGCAGAAGAGGAGAGUGGUACUCCAUGUGUAGCGGUGAAAUGCGUAGAUAUAUGGAAGAACACCAGUGGCGAAAGCGGCUCUCUGGUCUGUAACUGACGCUGAGGUUCGAAAGCGUGGGUAGCAAACAGG
rnacentral:rRNA from 1 species